GACUUUUUGAAAACUUUGUGUUUUUUUUUUGAGAUUUAUUUUUUUUGUAAUUUUUCUGAACCGGAAGCUUUUUAGAACCUUUCGGGACUAUUCGUUUAAAUUUUCGGAACCGGAAUUUUAAAGAAAUUUUUUGAUUCUCCCGCAUUUUUCCGGGUCUUUCGUUAUUUUUUAUUAACUUUUCUGGAUUUCUGGGAAGUUUCCGAAUUUUUUUCGAGGUUUUUUGGAUUCGCUUUUUUGGAGCUUUUCGGUUCUUCUGGCAGGUUGUGAAAUCUUUUGUGUUAAUUUUUUCGGAUUUUUUAUUUUUGUAAAUUUCGGUUUAGUAGGACUUCGCCGAAUUUCUCUGGAACUUUAAGGUGCAAAAGUUUAGUUUAGUUUGGUUUACAUACAUUCAAAACAGGAAAGGCAAAUUACCAGUUGUGCUCAGUAAAAAAGUAUCCAUAAUCGGCUUUCUAACAAAAAAAUACUGAAUGUCUAAACGUUACUAAAACGUUUUUUAUGUUUUUAUUAUAAAAGGUACUUGCAAAAUUACAAAAUAUUUUAUUCAGAAUUUUAAUUUAACCUAACUUUUAAAAGAAAAUGCUCUAAAAUUACAUGCAAAUAUGACCGAAUAAAGCUUCACUUCACAAAAACGAAUAGUUUCUCGACUUUUUUGUUAAGAAGUUUAAUUUUAUUAGUAAAAAAAAUAUGGU